rnacentral:rRNA from 1 species
CAGCAGCCGCGGUAAUACCGGCGGCCCGAGUGGCGGUCACUAUUAUUGGGCUUAAAGCGUCCGUAGCCGGGGUGGGAAGUCCUCCGGGAAAUCUGGCCGCUUAACGGUCAGAAUGCCGGAGGAUACUCCCAGCCUAGGGAGCGGGAGAGGCCGAGGGUAUUCCCGGAGUAGGGGUGAAAUCCUAUAAUCCCGGGAGGACCACCUGUGGCGAAGGCGCUCGGCUGGAACGCGUCCGACGGUGAGGGACGAAGGCCAGGGGAGCAAACCGGAUUAGAUACCCCCGUAGUCCCAGCUGUAAACGAUGCGGGCUAGAUGUUGGGCGGGCCUCGAGCCCGCCCAGUGUCGUAGGGAAGCCGUUAAGCCCGCCGCCUGGGGAGUACGGCCGCAAGGCUGAAACUUAAAGGUUGGCGGG